rnacentral:rRNA from 1 species
UACGAAGGGGGCUAGCGUUGUUCGGAAUUACUGGGCGUAAAGCGCACGUAGGCGGACUCUUAAGUCAGGGGUGAAAUCCUGGAGCUCAACUCCAGAACUGCCUUUGAUACUGGGAGUCUUGAGUUCGGGGAGAGGUGAGUGGAACUGCGAGUGUAGAGGUGAAAUUCGUAGAUAUUCGCAAGAACACCAGUGGCGAAGGCGGCUCACUGGCCCGAUACUGACGCUGAGGUGCGAAAGCGUGGGGAGCAAAC